UACGUAGGGUGCGAGCGUUGUCCGGAAUUAUUGGGCGUAAAGAGCUCGUAGGCGGUGUGUCACGUCCCGGGUGAAAUCCCUCGGCUCAACCGAGGAACUGCCUUGGAAACUGUCUGGCUUGAGGCCGGGAGAGGGUAGUGGAAUUCCCAGUGUAGCGGUGAAAUGCGUAGAUACUGGGAGGAACACCGGUGGCGAAGGCGGCUACCUGGACCGGUUCUGACGCUGAGGCGCGAAAGCGUGGGUAGCAAACAGG
rnacentral:rRNA from 1 species